CCUACGGGGGGCAGCAGUGGGGGAUAUUGGACAAUGGGGGAAACCCUGAUCCAGCGACGCCGCGUGAGGGAAGAAGGUUUUCGGAUUGUAAACCUCUGUUGACGGAGAAAAAAAUGAUGGUAUCCGUUUAGAAAGCCACGGCUAACUACGUGCCAGCAGCCGCGGUAAUACGUAGGUGGCAAGCGUUGUCCGGAAUUACUGGGUGUAAAGGGAGUGUAGGCGGGAUAUCAAGUCAGAAGUGAAAAUUACGGGCUCAACUCGUAACCUGCUUUUGAAACUGACAUUCUUGAGUGAAGUAGAGGCAAGCGGAAUUCCUAGUGUAGCGGUGAAAUGCGUAGAUAUUAGGAGGAACACCAGUGGCGAAGGCGGCUUGCUGGGCUUUUACUGACGCUGAGGCUCGAAAGCGUGGGGAGCAAACAGGAUUAGAUACCCCGGUAGUC
rnacentral:rRNA from 1 species